GAGUAUUAAAAUAAUUUAGAAAUAAUGAACGCAUUAAUCGACACAAUAAGUGAAAAACUAAUAAUUGGGUCAAUCAGUCAAUGCGAUAAUGAUGCAUAUUUGUGAUCUCUUGCGCUCUACGCCUUGAUCUUCCAGGAGUUAGAAACAUAUUUUCCAUGACAGGAACACUAAUAAAAUGCUUCUCACAAAAUGAAGAAACUUGACUAAGCAAAGAAUUCCAUCCAUGUUCUCUCAUCCUCUAUAGACCUAGUUUGCAAAUGCUAACUAAUUUCAUGGAAUUCACAAUAUCUUGAUAUUUCCUUUGUAAUGCUUGUGACAAUUCUGUUGGACCAAGA
rnacentral:lncRNA from 1 species